rnacentral:rRNA from 1 species
GGUAUUGAAAUAAGAUUUUAAAUGAGUGCUAAGAGAAUGAUUAAACAAUUAAAAACUUUCUUUAAUUAAAUAAUUAAAUUUAAUUUUUUUUUGUGCAAAAGCGAAAAUAAAAUUUAGGGACAAGAAGACCCUAUGAAUUUUUAUUAUUAAUAUUUUGCAAUUAAAUUAUUAAUAAUUUAAUUGGGGUGAUAAAAAAAGAAUAAGUAUCUUUUUAAAUUAUAAAAUAAGUUCCGUUUUUAGCGAUUAAAUGAAAAAAAUACUCUAGGGAUAACAGCGUAAUAAUUUUGGAUAGUUCAUAUAGAUAAAAUAGUUUGCGACCUCGAUGUUGGAUUAGGAUUCUUUUUUGGUGAAGAA